rnacentral:rRNA from 1 species
UCCGUAGGUGAACCUGCGGAAGGAUCAUUGCUAAUAGAUCGAGCCCAGCGCGCGAGCGUCGAAAGAUCAACCUGUAGGAGAAAAGGCAAGCUUGCGCAUGGUAGAUUAUUCUACUAAGUCUGAAAGAAGAAAUCUUAACGAUGGAUGUCUAGGCUCCCGCAUCGAUGAAGAACGUAGCAGAAAGCGACAUGCGAUGAUACGCGCAUAGACCAGGAUUCCGCGGACUCGUGAAUCAUUGAAUCUUCGAACGCAUAUGGCGCUCAGCAGUAAGAGCCGUAGCAGGCUGAGCAUGCCCUGGAGUAGUGACGCGAGCUGCCAUCGCUGCAACACCAUCCGUGUUGCAGCAUCGUGUUCGAUAUCCGAGAGGAGAAACAAAUCUUCUUCGAGGACGAAUCAAAUACCGGGCCCCGCCCUAUGGGCGCGGGGAGAGGCUAGAAGUGUGGAUGGUCUAAACCCAUUCACGAAGCGCACAAAGUCCUACCCACGAGCAGGAAAACCCGCUGAACUUAAGCAUAUCAAUAAGCGGAGGAA